UACGAAGGGGGCUAGCGUUGUUCGGAAUUACUGGGCGUAAAGCGCGCGCAGGCGGUCCUUCAAGUCAGAGGUGAAAGCCCAGAGCUCAACUCUGGAAUGGCCUUUGAGACUAGAGGACUUGGGUACGGGAGAGGUGAGUGGAAUUCCGAGUGUAGAGGUGAAAUUCGUAGAUAUUCGGAAGAACACCAGUGGCGAAGGCGACUCACUGGACACAUAUUGACGCUGAGGUGCGAAAGCGUGGGGAGCAAACAGG
rnacentral:rRNA from 1 species